UGUUACUUUAUUUUUGUUUAAAAACAGAUCAUACAGUGAAUGUCAUCAGACAAACGAAUGCGUAUUUGUAUUAUUUUAGGAGAGUCCAAGUUAACUUGUGAACCAGCCUUUUGACGUUAUAGUCUGUUUGUGAAUUCUUUGUUUGGAAUGUUUUAGUUUUGUUUUAGUUCAGUUAUUUGUUGCUUUGGCUGUAUGUUUAGUUAUUUUUGUUUCCAUGUUUUCAUGUCAUGUCACACCCCGUGCUCUGUUUCAUGUCUCCCCUGUCUUUCAUGCUUAUCCAUGUGUGUUCAGCCCAUCAUGUCUCGUUCCCUCUUUCUCGUGACCCCUGGGGUUAAGUUUCCCUCCGCCUCGCUGUCUCUCGUGUCAAGCUUGAGCGUCCCAGUUUACGUUGCUCCAUGUUUCUUGUUUUAUUUUGAAGUUCUUGUGUUCCACGUUAAGUGUGUUUAGUUUUGCUUUUCCCCUGUGGUGUCAUGUUCAUUUGUAUCAGCUGUUUCCCCGUGUGUUUCCACUUCCCCUGAUCACCUCCUGUCUGUUUAUAGUCUGUGAGUUUUCAUUCAUUCUUUCUCAGGACGUCUGUUAUGUUAACGCCAUGUUUCCAAGGUUUCACACUUCCAGCGCAGACUGUGACAGGUCUCAGUGUAACCCUGGAUAAGUGUAGCCCAAAUCAGUUGUUUUGUUUGGAUGUGCUGUAAAGUGCAUGUUGUUUACACAGAACUUUGGACAAGAAACAUUAUGUAGCACACAAUAUGGUUUACGGACCACUCAACGCAUUAGACUACACAUCUGACCAAGCAUGACGACAUAUUCAUAUUUCUUCAAUAUGCUUUCUAUGCCUGUCAGCCAAUUUGGAAUCACCAGUUAACCCAAUAUAAAGCACUUCUGGGAGGGGGUGGAGCAGUGCAUUCAGGGUGUGGUGUCAGGUGAGGCUGGCUCACACACCUGACCCCCUUCAUCUGACCAUGAGUAUGUCGCCGGGACCUGAAGAGAGAACUGCGUGUGGUGUGAAGCCGAAGGAGG